rnacentral:rRNA from 1 species
UACGUAGGGUGCAAGCGUUAAUCGGAAUUACUGGGCGUAAAGCGUGCGCAGGCGGUGCUGGAAGACAGGUGUGAAAUCCCCGGGCUUAACCUGGGAACUGCAUUUGUGACUGCAGCGCUGGAGUGCGGCAGAGGGGGAUGGAAUUCCGCGUGUAGCAGUGAAAUGCGUAGAUAUGCGGAGGAACACCGAUGGCGAAGGCAACCCCCUGGGCCUGCACUGACGCUCAUGCACGAAAGCGUGGGGAGCAAACAGG